GAUGAACGCUGACAGAAUGCUUAACACAUGCAAGUCCACUUGAACUUCGGUUUGGGUGGCGGACGGGUGAGUAACGCGUAAAGAACUUGCCUCACAGCUAGGGACAACAUUUGGAAACGAAUGCUAAUACCUGAUAUUAUGAUUUUAGGGCAUCCUAGAAUUAUGAAAGCUAUAUGCGCUGUGAGAGAGCUUUGCGUCCCAUUAGCUAGUUGGAGAGGUAACGGCUCACCAAGGCGAUGAUGGGUAGCCGGCCUGAGAGGGUGAACGGCCACAAGGGGACUGAGACACGGCCCUUACUCCUACGGGAGGCAGCAGUGGGGAAUAUUGGACAAUGGACCAAGAGUCUGAUCCAGCAAUUCUGUGUGCACGAUGAAGUUUUUUGGAAUGUAAAGUGCUUUCAGUUGGGAAGAAAAAAAUGACGGUACCAACAGAAGAAGUGACGGCUAAAUACGUG
rnacentral:rRNA from 1 species